UGCAGCAGCCCAACAGUUGCUGAACAGCUUAGCUAGACUUAAUGGAACCUCAGUCAGAUGCAGUAUUUGGGGUGAGAUACAGUAAACCAGAUGACUCUAGUGUGUUUGCUACCAGAGGAAGAAUGAGAGCCGGAUUUCUGCCCAGUGCUCUGGCCCCACUGUAACCUUGCCAUUUUUCCUGAUCCAGUUUGUGUGCAUUGCUGGCUCUCAGCAGGAUCCCCACCAUCAAAAGGGAGUUUGCUGCUGUUGCAGUGAGAAAAGUCAGUGGUGUUGCAGCAACAGAAGAAGACAGGACAAGGGAUCUUAAAGGGACAGAAGAACUUUCCAUGAGAUGGAAGAAGAGGAAAGCCAAGCACUGGCCUGAUAUUCUGCUGAGUGCUAUUUCCGCCUUUGACAUAGGGCUCCCUGCCACUCUUUGCCUAGUGGCCCCUGAGAUCAGCAGAAGCAGGGCCAGUGAAGAGUGAAAUCAAAUGAAUAUCCAGGACAUAUCACUGCCAUCAUUUACAUGUGGUGGGAUAACCUGGACCUGGCUACUUCCCUGUUGAAGGAGAGAAAGGGAAGGCCAGGUUGGUGGUUUUAAGGGGAUGGUUGUCAUAGUAGGCUUUCCCCACCCAAUUCAUUUUUAGUUUUUGCUGCUAUAUAAAUGAUAUAGCGGAAGAAACUCCAGCCAUAGAAGUAUGAUUCAAAUGUAGAGUUCAAUGCAGAGCUUUUACUGUGCCUUAUGUCAUAAUGGUGAAAGACAACUAAGUGGAUAUCAGGGCAAAAACAUGGCUCUGUGUAUUGAGAUGUUGCUUGAUUGUACAUCUUAGAAUGCAAGAUAUCUUUCCCUUUAAAUAUCUCCACCCCAAAAUAUAUAGAAGUAUACAUUUUACAUUUUUUUUGUUGUCUGUAACAGUCUUUUUAUACAUAGGUUUAUCUCUGGAUUAUUAAUGUCUGCCUGCAUAACUUGAUAUAGUGCUUGAACUAUGGAAACAUUUGCCUGAAAUAUUUGGUGCAUAUUUUUUUUUAAGAUGCUUUCUUUAGCUGAGGUUUGCAAAAUGUAGCCACAGCCUGCAUUUUAUUGCAGAAAUCCAUGGCAAACGAUGGCAUCCAACCGUUUCUCUUCAAACAAAAUGAUCAGCUGAGCAGCAGCUUGCCAAUAGCCACAGCUUAAGCCCCGUUCACACCACAGCUGUACAUUAGUCUUCAUUGUGCAAGUUUGCAGCUGGUUUUCCAAGUGCAUGCUAAAUUGUGCAGCAGUUGUUUACACUGACCGCCAUAGCGGUUAGAACACCUCCACAGCCCCCCCACCCCUCACUAAGGGAUUUGUACAAAGCUGUGCAGCAGGAGGAUUUGAAUUAGGUUGGCAUCAAUGGCUGAUGUGAAUCUUCUAUCUUCCUCUGGGAGAAAGAAAAUGGACUUCACGUGACAGGCUGGUGAUUUCACUGCCAGCCGAUGUCCGGGCUGAUUCUGGGCAGUAAUUGAGUGUAAUGAGAGGGAUAGAGGGAUCAGAUCAGAGUCGAUAUAUUACGAUUCAGACUGAAUGGGAUGUUUGAUGGGGCUACAGUGAAAGCACUACAAAGCUCACAAUGGGUCAGGAAAGGGGUUAAAUACAAUUAAGUUUGACACUUGAUCGGAACAGAAUUUUUAAUUCUAAUAUCCCAGAAUACCACACUAACUACCAGCACUUAUCUAAAGCAAAACACAUCACUCAUGCUAUCCAUUACUGUGCUAUAAUUAUGUUAAGUGAAGCAGAACUGAAUCGAUACAGUAAUUUAUCAGUUUCCUGACUGAAUAUUCUAACGUGAUACAGAUUGUAGGUACAGUUGAUUCCUUCUAAGUGAUUAACCUUUUUGCCACAAAAUUUUAUUCACUGAUAGAACUGUUCCCUUAACAAUGCUGUUUCCUUUCCUUUAUUGCUGUGAUGCAUUGAUGCCUAAUUUUAGAAAGAACACUAUUCCAUUAAUUUUAAUUUGCAAUGUUUUAUAAGGCAUAUGAGAUGCAACCAAGCAGCAAAAGGCUGUAGAAUGCAACAUAGAAUAUGAGUCUGCAUAAAUACUGUGCACUGAACAAUCCAAAAAUGUGUCUUUUGAUAGGAAUGUACAGUAAAGUAAUAAAAAAGCAUUUGAUUU